rnacentral:rRNA from 1 species
AUACGGAGGAUGCGAGCGUUAUCCGGAUUUAUUGGGUAUAAAGGGAGCGUAGGCGGGAGCUUAAGUCAGCGGUUAAAUGGUGCGGCUCAACCGUGCCCUGCCGUUGAAACUGGGUUUCUUGAGAGUGCAAGAGGCGGAUGGAAUUCAUGGUGUAGCGGUGAAAUGCUUAGAUAUCAUGAAGAACUCCGAUUGCGAAGGCAGUCCGCUGGGGCACGGCUGACGCUGAUGCUCGAAGGUGCGGGAAUCAAACAGGAUUAGAUACCCUGGUAGUCCGCACGGUAAACGAUGAUUACCCGCUGUCGGCGGUAGACAGUCGGCGGCCAAGCGAAAGCGAUAAGUAAUCCACCUGGGGAGUACGUUCGCAAGAAUGAAACUCAAAGGAAUUGACGGGG